rnacentral:rRNA from 1 species
CCUACGGGGUGCAGCAGUGAGGAAUAUUGGUCAAUGGGCGGAAGUCUGAACCAGCCAAGUAGCGUGCAGGAUGACGGCCCUAAGGGUUGUAAACUGCUUUUAUACGGGGAUAAAGCGAGUCACGUGUAGCGUUUUGCAGGUACCGUAUGAAUAAGGACCGGCUAAUUCCGUGCCAGCAGCCGCGGUAAUACGGAAGGUCCGGGCGUUAUCCGGAUUUAUUGGGUUUAAAGGGAGCGUAGGCCGCCUGUCAAGCGUGCUGUGAAAUGUCCGGGCUCAACCCGGGCCGUGCAGCGCGAACUGGCGGGCUUGAGUCCGCGGAAAGCAGGCGGAAUUCGUGGUGUAGCGGUGAAAUGCUUAGAUAUGACGAAGAACCCCGAUUGCGAAGGCAGCUUGCUGCAGCGGAACUGACGUUGAGGCUCGAAAGCGUGGGGAGCGAACAGGAUUAGAUACCCCGGUAGUC